GAAUGAACGCUGGCGGCGCGCCUAAUACAUGCAAGUCGAGCGAGAAGACGUAGCAAUACGUUUGUAAAGCGGCGAACGGGUGAGGAAUACAUGGGUAACCUACCCUCGACGUGGGGAAUAACUAGCCGAAAGGUUAGCUAAUACCGCGUACGCUUCUUGGACUUCGGUUCAGGGAGGAAAGCGAUACCGUGGGUAUCGCGCUCUUGGAUGGGCUCAUGUCCUAUCAGCUUGUUGGUGA
rnacentral:rRNA from 1 species